rnacentral:rRNA from 1 species
AACGAACGCUGGCGGCAGGCUUAACACAUGCAAGUCGAGCGAAACCUUCGGGUCUAGCGGCGGACGGGGGAGUGACGCGUGGGAACGUGCCCUUGUCUACGCAAUACCCCCGGGAAACUGGGAGUAAUAAAGUAUACGCUCUUAGGGGGAAAGAUUUAUCGGGGCAGGAUCGGCCCGCGUUGGAUUGGGUAGUUGGUGGGGGAAUGGCCCGCCAAGCCUACGAUCCUUAGCUGGUUUGAUAAGAUGAUCCGCCACACUGGAGCUGAGACCCGGCCCAGACUCCUACGGAGGGGAGCAGUGGGGAAUCUUAUGGACUGAAGGCAACCCUGAUCUAGCCAUGUCGGGUGAGUGGUGAAGGCCUUAGGGUUCUAAAGCUCUUUCAGCUGGAAAGAUAGUGACGGUACCGGCAGAAGAAGCCCCGGCUAACUACGUG